AUAGAAUAACUGCUAACUAUUAGUGACUGAAAGCCUCUAAACAUCUAAAAUAAAAGAGUUGAUGGUACAGGCCCCAACUAACUUACAACUGCUGUCUGGAGGUAACUGAAAAACUAAAAUACUAUAAAUAGUAAAAUGACUAAAUAAGUGUCAUGCCCUCGAUGGAUGAGGACUCACUACUAUUGCUGUGGCUGAUCAACAGAAUCUGACUAAGUAUGGUCAAGAACCCAAGCAUCCGAACCUAUGAUAUGAGACAUCAUAGCGUAAAGAAAAAUUAUACGUCAGUACUUUGAAUGUAUGGUAUGCUAGGUAAGGUUAGGCUGAUAUGCAUGGGUUCAUGUGCAUAAGAAUAUUAACUAAAUAUCAUGAAAUAAUUAGAUGAGAGUAUAUGCAAUAUUGGGAAUACUGUAAGUACUGAACAUACAAUACCAAACAUAUAUCAUUUAUCUGAAUUAGUCUAAAGCUGAAGUACUGAGUUUCUGAUAACUAAUAACUGAUAACUGUAAGUCAUGAUCGCGCAGAACUAAACUGAGUUCUGUACUGAAUACUAACUACUGGAUACUGAUUAUUGAAUACUGAAUACUGAAACUGUAACUGUGGGAGUUAUCAUCUAACCAACAUACCCUGAUUAUGGACUAAUUUGGGGUCCAACCUGUAACCCUAAUUUGAAGGGUGUUAGCACCAUGCUACGGGUUACUAACAGAAGCUGGGUUAACCCUAAUCUGUCAGAAAGAAUUAUGAAAUGUAUAUGGUUACGUCAACCCUAGUCUGGUAGGAAAAUGAUUUACCCUAUUCGGAUACGUAGUUCUGUAAUGCAGGGACUGCUACCAAGGGUCAAACCCUCUGCUGAUAGGAAUGCCCCCAUCCCUGGGUUCGCUUGGUGCUGAAUCCUGCUCCCAACUGAAUUGAUACUGAACGGAUCUCUAGACUGCACCAGGCUUGACUGAACUCACACUGAUUCUGUUGACUGACUGUUUUCUAUUGUUUGGGUUACUACAAAAUCUUUCUAUUCCGACUGGAGACUAGACAACAACUAAAUUUUGGGUAUUCAAUACCCUCAUAUCUCAACUCUAAAAGCAUCACACAUAGGUUAUCAUGCACAAUUCCUUCACGUAGACAUUUUGUCAAACACCUAGGAUACAUAACUCUUGUACAUAAGAUUGAGCAAUAUAUGAAUAUCAUGACUACCACAUUCAACACCAAAAUUCAAAGAUUAAACAUAGGGAUUACAUAAAUCAACAUGCAUUCUAGUUAAUUCACAUGAAACUAAAAUUAUUCUUGACUUGAAAUCCACACAACAUCACAUACAUGAAUAUAAUUCCAUUCAAGAAUGUAAAACAUUAUCUAAGUGUUUGAAAAAGGAUUCAUGAACUCCAAGGGUGGAAAAAAACCUAAUGAUGAACACCUAAACAUACCUUGAUUGACGAAUUCUUGGAAGUUAUUGAGGGAUUUCUUAUAAAUUAAACUUGAAUGUUAAAUGGCUAGGGUCUGUUCUUGAAGGAGAAUGCCUUUGAUUUUGAGAUAAUUGUGAUAAAUGGGGCAAAAAUGUUGUUUGGGACCUAAAUCCCAUGUUAAAGUGAGCAAAAAGACUAAAAUACCACUCUAGACUCGGGAUUAAAUGAGCUGAAAAAGACCCAGUAACGCAAUAGGCACCGCACCGCAUCGAUGGUACCGACGUGAUUACUGAUAUGUUGUGUCGAUGGUGAUGAUGUGACAGCCAAUGCAAAGCGUCCUGAUCGCGUUGGUUUGCUAUUUUGAUCAUCCAAAUAUGACUUAAAUAACGUUCAAAAAUUUUGAAACUCACCCGAGAUGACCUAUAGAUAACCCUGAUAAUGAAUCAAUUUAAAAAUCGUUAAUCUAAAGCCAAAAAGAUCAUAAAUGAUACCAUUGAAAUAUCGAGCCCAAAAAUGAGACUAAGUGUCUUAGCUGAAAUUUUGCAAGUCUGGGACCUCUUUUGGCAUGAUAUAAUGACUGAAAUAGACUAGGACUUUACGGGGUCUUACAUACAGUCUCCCCCACUAGAAAGAUUCAUCCCUGAAUGAAAGACAAAGUAGGAGUAACCACACGACGAGUCAUUUGCAUUAUGUUUUCAGACAUAUUCCCAAUCUUUAACAAAGUUCAAAAACAAAGAGGCAAAGUUAUUAUUCUUUCCUUUAACAAACUCAAAAAAUAAAGAUGUGUUGAAGACACAUACCUUCCGAAUGAAUCCCAGGAGUACAAAACAAAUAAGGAUAUUUGGACUCUAUCUCCUCUUUCGCUUCCCAUAUAGAUUCUUCCACCUUAUGGCUCCACCAAAGAACCUUUAACCGAAGCCACAUCGUUUGUCUGUAACUGAUGAAUUUGCCUAUCCAAGAUCUUAAUCAAAACCUCUUCAUAAGACAAAGAAUCCAUGAGACUCAACCCUUCCAAAGGAACAAACGAAGAAGGAUCACCAAUGCACUUCCUCAAUAUGAAAACAUAAAAGACCAGAUGAACCAACCUCAAGCUAGAAGGUAACUCUAUCUCAUAAGCAACAUUACCAACUCUUCGCAAAAUCUCAUAAUGACCAACAUACCAGGGACUGAGUUUCCCCUUCUUACAAAAUCGCACUACUCCCUUCAUGGGUGAUACCUUGAGGAAAACCAUAUCCCUGACCUCAGACUCUAAGUCUCUAUGCCCAUUAUCCAUAUAGGACUUUUGGCGACUUUGGGCAACCUUAAGCCUCUCCUAAAUUAUCUUCACCUUCUCUACAGCCUGGUAAAAUAAUUUGGGACCAAACAUGUACGCCUUACCAAGAUCGAACCAACUAAUAGGAGAUCUGCACCUUCUACCAUACAACGCCUAAAAAGAGGCCAUACCAAUACUAGAAUGAUAGUUGUUAUUGUAAGCAAACUCCACCAAAAGUAGAUGCUCAACCCAAUUGCCACCAUAUUCAACCACAAAGGCCUGAACCCUAUCCUCUAAUAUCCAAAUAGUUCUCUACGCUUGCCCACCCUUCUGCAGAUGAAAAGCGGUACUCAGACUCACUUUAGUCCUCAACCCUCUUUAAAAAGACCACUAAAAGUGAGACAAAACUACGUGCCACGAUAAAAAAUAAUCAAAACAGGCACCCCAUGCAGCUUUACAAUCUCCCGAAGAUACAGUUUUGCAUAAUCCUCCGCCAAGAAGGUAGUCUGCACUGGCAUAAAGUGCGCAGACUUAGUGAUCCUAUCCGUGAUGACCCAAAUCGAUUCCUAUUAACUUCAAGACCGAGAAAGGCCGAUAACGAAGUUUAUUUUGAUGACUUCCCACUUCCAUUCGGGCAAAAUAAUUUCUUGAUACAACUUUUCAAGCCUCAUGUGCUCAACCUUAACCUGGUUACACACCAUGCACUUUGCCGCAAAAUCAGCCACAUCCCUCUUCAUGCCAUUUCACUAAUAGAUCUCCUUGAGAUCAUGAUACAUCUUCUUAGAGCCAUGAUAAAUAACAUAGCGCGACUCAUGUGCCUAAGCCAAAACCCAUUACGGCAAACUGUCUACACCAGGAAUGCACAACCUUCUUUGGUAACGUAAAGUACCAUCAUCACUCAUCUCAAACACCAUUACCUUUUACCCACCAACAUCACUCUUAAUUUUCAUGAAGAUAUGAUCUAACACUUACUUCUCCUUAAUCUCCACACCAAGAGAUGAUCGAAGCACUUUUUGCACCAUCACACCACCAUCCUUGGAGUCCAAUAGGCAAACUCUAAGAUUAGCUAAUGGUUAAUAUCCUUGACCAAUUCCCACUUCCCUUCCUCUAAAUGAGCCAAACUCCGCUUGAUAACCUUCUAAGAGCCUCGAAAACCAUACUAGCCUUACCUGGGUGAUAGUGAACACUCAUAUGAUAAUUCUUGAGAAGCUCAAGCCAUUUUCUCUGCCUGAGAUUUAGCUUUUUCUGUGUGAACACAUACUGCAGACUCUUAUGACCAGAAAAGAUAUCAAUGUGAACACCAUAAAAAUAAUACCUCCAUAUUUUCAAAGCAAACACAACUACCUACAGCUCUAUAUCAUGAGUAGGAUAAUUCCUCUCAUAUACCUUCAACUGCCUGGAAGCAAAGGAAAUCACCUUUCUAUGCUGCAUCAAUGCACCACCAAGACCUACCCGAGAUGCAUCUUAAUAAACCACGAACCCAUCAUUGCCUUUCGACAAAGUCAAAAUUGGAGCCAAAGUUAACUUAUUCUUCAACUUCUCAAAACUCCCUUCACAAGGAUCUAACCAAGAAAACUUUACCUUUUUCUGAGUUAACUUAGUCAAAGGAGCAAGUAUUGACGAAAAGCUUUCCACAAACCACCUAUAAUACCUAGCUAAACCCAAGAAGCUUCGAAUGUUGAAUGACGUUGUGGGCCUAGUCCAACUCUUCACCACAACAACCCUUUGCAGAUCCGCCUUGAUUUCUUUGCUAGAAAUAAUGUGACCUAAGAAAGUUCCAGCAUUAAACCAAAACUCACACUUGGAGAAAUUAGCAUACAAUCGUUGUUUCUUUAAGGUCUGCAACACCAGACGAAGGUGAUUAGCAAGAUCUACCAAGGUCUUCGAAUAAACCAGAAUGUCAUCAAUAAAUACAAUGACGAAGAGAUUCAAAUGCUGAUGAAAAACUCUAUUCAACAGAUCUAUAAAUGUCGUUGGAGCAUUAAUCAACCCAAAUGACAUACCAAAUGCUUAAAGUGCCAAUACCGAGUACAAAAAGUUGUCUUAGGGAUAUACACCUCCCUAAUCUUUAGUUGAUGGAAUCCAUACCAAAGAUCUAUCUUAGGAAAAAACUUGGCACCUUUGGAACUGGUCAAACAGAUCAUCUAUCCUUGGAAGAGGAUAGUUGUUCUUGAUAAUCACUUUGUUCAACUGCAUGUAGUCAAUGCACAUAUAAGAGAAACCAUCCUUCUUGCGCACAAACAACACCGAUGCAUCCUAAUGAGAUACACUAGGAUGAAUAAACCCCUUAUACAGAAGAUCCUUCAGUUGCUUCUUGAGUUUUCUUAACUCAUUCAGAGCCAUUCUAUACGAAGGAAUAGAAAUUGGAUGAGUGUCCAAAAUUAGAUCAAUACCAAACUCUGUUUUUUUAUCCGAAGGAACACCAGGAAGAUCAUUCAAAAAGACCUCUGAAAAUUCAUUAACCACUGGAAUUGACUAGAAACAAGGGCCUUUUGAUUUUGAAUCUUUAACCAAGACCAAAUGAUAAAGAUAAUCUUUAGAGAUUAACUCCCAAACUUUAAGAUAAGAAAUAAACCUCCCCCUAGGAGAUAAAGAAACACCCUCUCACUCUAUAAUCGGCUUAUUAGGGAACUUAAAGAUAACCCUGUGGGUUUGACAAUCCAAGGACGCGUAACAAGAGAGUAACCAAUCAAUCCCCAGAAUAACAUCAAAAUUCACCAUAUCCAACUUAAACAGAUCCACCAAGGUUUUUUUGCCACCAAUAGACACCUCCCUAUAGACCCUCUUAGCAAUAACUGCGUCACCUACUAGGGUAGAAACAUAAAAAAGAACUGAAAUAACUUCCAGAUCAAAACCAAAAGAUAUAACCAUAUAAAGAGUCACAUAGGAGUAAGUGGACCCCAGAUAAAGUAAAUAAUAUACUUUAUGAGAGAAAAGUUAUAACGUAUUAGUAAUGACAAUAGGUGAUGCCUCGGAUUCCUCUCAAGAUGCCAAAGCAUACAAUCUAUUUCGACCAACACUAGAACCAGGAGCAGUAACAGAAGCAGAUGUCACACCACCAGGUGUAGGAGUAGAAAAUGAAGCCACAUGAAUCUUAUUCUCCCCUGUAGCAACAUUAUUAACUAGACAAUCCCUGAGCUGAUAGACUGUCUGGCCACACUUGAAGCAUAUUUCUCUCUCUUCAUCAUAUUAACCCCGAUGAGGGAGACCACAGAACUAACAAAGAGGGCAUGAAAAAAUCGAAUGACCUUCACUUUCCUAGGAUUAAGCACCCUGUGCUCAAAAAUUAUCACAACCAUAAUGGCGCGUGUAGUCCAACUGAUAAGGAGCACUAGCAGAAGAGUAGGAACCAGAACUCCGCCACUUCUUUUUCUUCCAUUUGCCACUAUCUCGACUACCCUGAGACUGAGCAUCUCCUUGGUCAGAAAACCUACUCCUCUUACCCUAUUUAUCUUUGAACUUCACCUGUCUCCUCUUUUCAUCCUUUACUUAUUGCAUAUGAAAAGUCAAAGUAGAGAUAUCCAUAUCUUUAAUCAGCAAAGUAGCCUUGCUCUUUAAAAUCAGAUCCCGAUUCAACCCAGAAGUGAACUUCCUCAUUCUAGACUAGAUGUCAGCUACUAAAUCAAGAGCAUACCUUGACAAUUGAUGAAACAUCAAGGGAUAUUCCUUGACAGACAUCCUCCCCUACUUGAGGUUCACAAACUUCUCCAUCUUUGUUUCCCUCAACUCCUGGGGAAAAAACAAUCCAAAAAAGCACCAGAGAAGGAAUCCCAUAAGGAUGACUCCUCCACAUCUCCUUUAUCCCUAUCCCACUCUUCAUACCAUGGAUAUGCAAUAUCAUUGAGAUGAUAAGCUAAAAAGUUUACCCUCUCUACAUUGGUAGACUGCAUCACUCGAAAUAUCUUUUUGAUCCCAUCUAAGAAACCCUGUGGAUCUUCCUCCACUUCACUCCAUAAAAAGUAGGAGGACUCAUCUUCAUAAAUUGUCCAAUCCUUGUGUCCUCAACAGACGAAGCACCAGACAUAUCCCCCUCAACCUGACAAGCAACCAACUUAGCAAUAACAUGAAUAAACUGACAAAAUUUAGUUGCCUCACCUUGAGAAGGUGGAGUAGCAGCUAGUGAAACUCCAGAACUAUCAGGGAUAAGACCGUGAGAUCGAAAAUAAACUUCAGAAGUAGGAUGCACCCCUUUAGCAUUACCCCAAAUGGGAUAAAAGAAUUUUCUUGUGUUCCAGAUCUAUGAGGCAUGAUAUAAAAGACGAACAACAAGGAUUAGAUAAGAUUCUAAGACUGAGACUCCGAGCUUGAAAAUAGAAUACCAAAAAAGUGAAACAUUCAUAAAUGUCUUGUAGUCUCUCCCUUGUGAGUGGGGUGCAAUGCCAAGGCCGAUACCAAUACCGAUCCCGCCCUUCCAAUCCAUAGAAGUACCACAAAGCCUCUAACCAAAAGAGUAAUGAAAUCCGGUUGGGAUAUGCCCUGAACCAUAGCCAAAACCAAUAUCUAAAAUAAAGUCAAAGUUUUUAAAAAUAUCCAUAACAUAAAUUGGAGCCUUCCAAAAGGAUGGAAACUCUCCACUCCAGUCCAAAUACUAUCCCCGAGUUAAUCACUAUGUAGAAGGAGUAGAACUGUCGGUUACUGCAAAGCUAGGUAUACAGCCGCCAGAGACGGGGUUAGCGAGUGACCGCUAGCAUGAUUUCAGGAUAAGGAUAAAAUAAUGCCAUUUAUAAAACCAAGUAAAACUAUUCAUAUGCACACAGCCAUACAUAUAUAUAACUAUGUUGGGAAAAGGGACCAAGUAUAGCAUGUCUUUAAAACCGUUACCUAGCUUGUGUAGCUUUGUUAUCCCAAACCACUCACGGGUUAUAUGGGUUCAGCUCAACCUGCUGAAAGGGCCCUAGUGCGUAUAGCCGCACGACCAGGGAAGUAUCCCAUGGGAUGACUAGUACAUCCCCCGAAUAUAGUAUGACAUCAUGCACACAGUUACUAAGACCAACCUCAUAUCGACAAAUAUGAGUUUUCAAUUUUAGUCCCCCCGAGACCUCCAACUUCCACGGCUUAGUUACACCUUCCGCCAUUAUUGAAAAAUUAAAAAUAAUUUCCAAAUAUCCAAAAAAUUAUCCAUUUAUUAACCAAGUGCAUUGAUAUUAGUACCGUCAUACCAACCCUUACUUACAAGUAUCAUCCAAAGCCAACCAUUUAUAGGUUUAAGGGGACUUUCAAGUUCCCUUUCAUUUACCAUAUUAAACCACUUAGGAGACUUCCAUGUUCCCCACAAGCAUGACCAAUUAGCCUUUAGCCUUUCCAAACUAUUUAAACCAUGCAUAAUUCCUUUACCAAGUUUAAAACAUGCAAGAGUUCCAUUAAAAGAAGACAAUGAAAUUAACAUAUCUUUAUAAGUAUUUUGUCUAACACAUUGGUGGCAUAAUAUGACCAAAACCAAUUCCAAAUACCAUUAAACUAUUCCCAUGCAAUCCAAUUAUCCAAAACCACCAUUAAUGAAUAUAAAAGCAUAAUUAAACGAUGGAAAAUCAUAACCAGCCAUUUAACAUCAAAACCCCCAAAUCAUAUUUGAAAACUAAAAUCACACAAUCAAUGAAAUCAUGAAAACAUUUAUAAAAACCAUUCCUUUAAGUAGAAUUAACAAUGAGGGAAGAGAACAUGCCUUAAACUAAGAUGAUGAUGGAAAGAAAUCACCAAGACAAGCCCCAAAUUAAUCCUUUAGUUGAAACCCUAGCUUCCCUUGUCCAAAAGCUCUUGAGAGAAUUAUGGAGUGCCUAGAAAAAGUUUCUAAGUGUUAAUGAAUAGAAUAAUAAGGUAAAUAACCUACCAAAAAUGUUAGAAGUCGUGGGACUCUAUUAAGAUAAGUAGGGAAAUUUCCAAAAUACCCUAUACUCAAGUUGCACCAAAAUCCUAUCAUAGUGAUACGACUGACCCUCACGAGUCUUACCAUCCCAAUCGAUCUAUAUCUACCACUCGUAUCCUAUAACUUCACCCUUGGACCAAUUAAUGUCCAAUAUACGACUUAUCCAACCAAGUCAGAACCACAAAAUACGAUCUAUAUCCAUGAUCCGUAUCCCUAGAAAAAUAAAAUACUAGGAGGAUGAACAUUGUUUACCAUAUGAGUCCUUGGUACGAUUCGUACCCUAGCUUAUGGUUCACGGUGAGCCUCUCGUACUCAGAUCGAACCUAAGUAACUAAGUCUAGGAUUAAUUUAAGGAACCAAAUAAUCUGUAACCAACAAUAUGACUCGUGCCCUUAGGUUGUAUCCAUUCCAGUAACUAAAAUCCAUCCCACCAACCAACACUGGUCAGUAUACGACUGGACCAUACCACUCGUACCCCAACAUACGGCUCAUACCCAUGAGUCAUUUUGGGACCAGAGAUUAGAAUUUCAGAAAAUUUUCUAAGGUCCAGAAACUAAGGUGUUUCACAACCCCAAGCUCUUAUGCUCAACUUCACUAUUGACAAGAUUGAUAAACAUUGAUUGACUGGCCAUUUUUGAUGUUCAACUCUAGUAAAUCUUGGAAUAAAGGACUUAUAAUUAGGAGCAAAGAGCAUGCACGGGAGUAUAUAAUGACUAUUCUACUUGUUAGAGAAUAAUGAGUCUUGCUCACUCGAAGUGCAGAGAAGUUAUGAGAGCUCUAUGUAACUUAGAGGUUAUGAAAGAUAGAGUACAACAUGAAUAUGACAAUAUCAAAAGCAUUAUGUGGGACAAUAGUAUGUAAGUGUUAAAAGCAUUAAGAAGAGAAUGUCUUAAAAUGAUGAGUUGCACUAAGAGAUUAUGGAUGAGACUAAAACCCUUUAUCAAAGCAAGAGUUGAACCUAGGGAUGAUUAAUAUACUAACGGAUGAAUCGGGAGGAUAAACUGAAGAAAAGCUUUGAAUAGACGCUAAGAGGGUAUUGUAGGGUCCUAACAUGACAAAAUUUUAAGAAAAAAGAGCUCUUAAGGCGAGGGACACUAAGUGUAAGGAGUUACUAAGAUAAGAAUGAAAACAACAAGAUAGGUAAUACAAAUGUAAAAAAUGCAACACAUAGCAAAUGAUAUUAUGUGUCCUUUCAGGAUUGUGAACUCCUUUGGACUUUGAAUGAGAUUAACAUUCAACACAUCAAGGGUGCCAUGACAUCCUAAGUUGAAAGAGAUGCAUAUCCCUUAGUAAACAUAAGGGUGGUUUAAUGACAUGGUUCUUUCAAGCGGACAACAUAAGAGUGAGAAAGUUUAUGGUUGUCAAUGCACCAUUGAUCGAACGAUCUACAAGGCACUUCCUGAAGGGUAUUUCAGGAUAGAACGUUUGUGUACCCCCGCAACCGUUCGUAAAAGAAAAAAGAGGAUUCAAAUGGAGAAAAGUAUGAGAGGAACAUAGCAAAAAUACAAUAACUUGCUUAGCAAUAUACAAGUAAAUAAACAUGAUAACACAUAGGCAACAAAAAGGGAAAGAAGGGAACGGGAUAGGCAUGGAGAACACAUACAAAGGGGGAAAGGAGAAGGGACUAGCAUGCAAAAAUAAGUCAUGAUUUAAAUAAACAAUAAAACAAAGAGCAAAAAUGUCAACAUGUAGAAAAUAAAUAACCAACAAAAGGUAAAAAGAGUAAGGUGAUAAUGAAAAUAAAACAAAGAAAGUACUAGAAUCCCACGUAAAAUACAAACUCAUAAUGAUUAGAACCUAAGAACCUCAGUAGAGUCGCCAUUUUGUCGAGCCCCAUUUUUCUCGUGAAAAGCGAGAUUCGACAUAACUACUCUUUUGGGGAUUGUUUAAAGAGUGAAGAGUCGCCACCUAACGAAUUAUGGUGUGUUAGGGCACCAUUCUAGGCUAACUAUGAAUCUAUGUUGUUAUUUAGUCUUAGUUCACCAAAAAAUUAGAUAAGAGUUCAAAUUACCUCGAAAGGAAGGCGUUAGGCACCUUUCGAGGUCCACAAAGGUGGUUCUUGAUGAAUUCGUACUUUACAAAGGAUUCUAGGUAAUAAAAUAAAGGUCACUUAUUUAUUAACUUAAUAUUACUAAGUGGUAGAAAUAAUAAACAAGACACGUUGUUUAACUAUUUUAUAAAAUAUUAAUUAUCUAAGUGAUGACAAAAUAAUACAAGGAGCAAUGUAAAACAGAUAAGCAGGAAGAUAGAAAUAACACAAUUUAUAACAAAAAUUUAUUAAAUUAAAGAACCUGAACUACCCCAUAUAAAGUAAAAAAAAAAAAGUAAAAGGUCAGACCAAGGAAUUGUCUUGGUGUUUUUCGAAUCUGUACCCAACUUGUUGGUCAUUAUUCAGCCCAUUAGCCAGCGGCCGGAUUCAAGACAAGUGACAAUAUCAUACGGCAUAUGAUAUAAUCAACAUAUUUAGAUAUCAUCACCUCCGAAUGUCUACCCACCCCCCACCUAGACUGGUUGUUAACCUAAAAGUAUUCUAAAGGAAAGGAUAAAAUUAGUGCCUCGAAAAUGCGUAUCAUCCCAACCUAUCGUCCAAGGGGAAUUGAAAUUUCUAUUUUGGAUUUGGGGUCUAGACGAAUAAAACUAGGUUUUUCUAGUUAGAUUCAAAAAACGUAAAACACAUAGGACGUCAAAUAGCAUGAAAUGGUCCCAAAAAAGCCUCCUAGUUAAUUAAGGAGUUGGUUAAGGUAAUUAGCAUGCUAAGACAAGAAUAGGUGAAUAUGUUGAAAACAUGAUUUAGGCACUAAAAGCUAAAACCCUUAGUGUUGGAAAUGUCAUUUUAACUUGCUAGGAUUUGCUAAAAAUAAUGUUGAAGUUAGAACAUUUACUAAAAUAUAGGUAAAUUUUUCCAUCGUUUACCUUGUAGGAAUUUAUUAUUUUGAAGCUGAAAAUUAAAGUUUUAUUGUUUAAAAAUAAUUUUGUGUUGCUGGGAAUUGUUUUAAAGAACUGAAAAUAGAAGUUUAGUUGCUGGAAGUUGUUAACAGAAAUCUUUAAAAAAAUAAUGUUUAAUUGCUGGAAACUAUUUUAUAUAUUGAAAACUUGUUUUAAAAUGUUAAAAAGUGAUUUAAUAUGCUGAACAAUUUAUAAACAUGCUGAAACUUUUGUUUUAGUUACUAAAAAUUCAUUUUAUACGCUAGCAGAUGAUGAUUUCUUUUUUAAUUAUUGAAAAUAGACAUGUGAAUAUUAAACCGCCUACGAUAGCCAAAAUUAAGCACAUGUAUUGAAAUUAAUCUUAGGACAGAUGUUAAUUAGCGAUCCUAAAGGCAUGUUUUCUAAGUGACAAAUAAAUUAAUCAACGAAUCAUAGAUUUCGCUUGCCUUAGCAAUUCACUUAGCACGUAAACCACUUAAACCCCGCCUCCAAGCAGUCCCCUAUAAUUUAUUAUUACACAGAUGUUUACAAAAGUUAUUACAAUACAAUAAAUUAAAAUAAAUAACUCAAUAAAGGAAGAGGAAUGAACCGCCCCCUCCCCAAUACCCAAGUAACUAUUCAAAUUUCCGAGACUGUCUAUUUAUACCUGUGAGACAAUAUGUAAUAGCAGUACAAGCAAGAAUAUAACUUAACACAUACAUAGCAAGAAAACACCGAAUAAUUCUUAUAGCCAUGUUUACUAGUAUCAUCAUAUAAGGUAUUGAAAUUGCAUCGAUAAACUACUAACUAUUUAGGAAUAUAGAAACAACAAACCAAUCAGAAAACAAGAAGGGGUUGAAUCAUAGUGUCUUAAGCAAUUAGCAGUGAUAGUUGAUCAAAGCCGAAGAAAGAAAUCGAAAUAUCAAACUGAGAGUAUGUAAGUAUAUUGGAGUAGAAGUUCAGUUGAGUAGAAUAAUAAGAAAGGGCAUUCUUUUAUAGUAAAAGGAGAUAGUUCUUAAAAAGGGAACAAACUAAUUAAAAAUUAAUUAACAAAAUACUAAUUCCUUAAUUAGCUUGGUCAAAUCAAUUAGGAGAAGAAAAUCUCACUAAUAGAACUAUUGAAAGAAAAUAGGAAAAUCAGUCAUCACAUCAGUCAAUUGAGAUCAAUCCGGAGAAAGUAAAUAGGUAAAAAAUUACCAUAAAUAGAAGAUGAGAAUCUGUCAAAAUUAAGUAAAAAGAAAACUCUAAAUAGAAUAUAAUACAAAUGGGAUUUACCACAUAUAAUGGAGCAAAAUCAAUGGGAGGAGGGAAUCAUAAGGAUUCGAGCAAUUCAAGUUGUCAUAUUUAAAACAUGUUAAGUUUGUCAGUUCGGAUUCAAAAGGACGGGAGCAGAGGUCUCAAAAUUCAUCUAGGACCAAAUUGAUCGACAUGAGUAUUAACAAUUGCAUGCUAGCACGGACUUUAAAAAAUUGUACAAAAAUCAAAACUCAAGUCAAGAAAUUGGGGACUUUUCAUGUAUAUCAAUCUAGAAACGAACAUAAACACAUAAUUAAACGAAUUCAGAAUCAAAUAUCAUGAAUUUUCAAGUUAAACGACUGAUUUAGGAGAUUCGUGCCAAAGCAAACAAAUAAGCAAAUUAAGGUAUUGAGAAAUCAAAUCGGUCAAUAAUCACAGGGAGGUUCAUCACAAACCUCGUCGGUCAUCAACUCCGGUGAAGACAUAACGGGUAGAGGAAAGGGCUGUGAAGGCGGAGUCAUUGGUGGCCUAGUUUCGCUGGUCUUGGGGUCUCUAUCAAGCAAAAAAUGGUGGAUCGACUGCAUUGUUGUUGCUAUUUUGCCAGCGGCAGUAAUGGUUUGAAUGGGGCAACGCCGGGGGUUGUCGGGGUUCGUUGGUCGGGUCUGUUUACUGGCGCUGGUUGGAAGGUAUUGGGGAGGCCGAUCAUCCGGUGGUUAGUUUCGGUGGCGGCGAAACAAUAAGGAAGAAGCUAAUUUUAGAGAUAGAAAGAAGAUAGAAGGAGAAGGGACU
rnacentral:lncRNA from 1 species